AUUGAACGAUGGCGGCAGGCCUAACACAUGCAAGUCGAACGAGUGGCGGACGGGUGAGUAAUGUCUGGGAAACGGCCAGAUGGAGGGGGAUAACUACUGGAAACGGUAGCUAAUACCGCAUACCAUCAGAUGUGCCCAGAUGGGUAUAGCUUGUUGGUGGGGUAACGGCUCACAAAGGCGACGAUCCCUAACUGGUCUGAGAGGAUGACCAGCAAGACUGGAACUGACAGACGUUCCAGUGUUCUACGGGAGGCAGCAGUGGGGAUUAUUGCACAAUGGGCGCAAGCCUGAUGCAGCCAUGCCUCGUGUAUGAAGAAGGCCUUAGGGUUGUAAAGUACUUUCAGUGGGGAGGCGUUACCCGCAGAAGAAGCACCGGCUAACUCCGUGCCAGCAGCCGCGGUAAUUC
rnacentral:rRNA from 1 species